rnacentral:lncRNA from 1 species
UUAUAUUAUUAUAUGGUUGGCCGUGCCACCUAAUUUUCGUUCUUAUUAUAUGGUUGGCUGUGCCACCUAAUUUUCGUCCUUUACUUCUAUAUUAUGUUAUUUUAUGUCAUAUUGUUAUCGUGAAUUUAAUUCUCAUCGUUUAGUUAAAGAUAAUUGUGAAACUUUCUUUAGUAAUUUAUUUGACUCACAUCAACACUCACUCACAUCUUCCACCAUGGCUGAUAAUGAAAGCAUACAUGAUGAAACUAAAAACCAAAAAGCACGAACCAUGCGUGAUUACUUGCAACCUCCUCGAAAUUCUACUCCUUCAUGUUUCAUUUUACCUCUUAAUGCUAAUAAUUUUUGAUUCAAGCCGGGUAUGAUUCCAUUACUUCCUAAUUUUCAUGGCUUAGAAUCCGAAAGUCCAAUUUUGCAUCUUAAAGAAUUUGAGGAAGUAUGUGCCACAUUUAAAGAUCAAACUUGUCCCAAUGAAAUUGUUAAGUUGAAAUUGUUUCCUUUUUCUCUAAAAGAUAAAGCAAAAACUUGGCUUAACUCUUUAAAACCUAGGUCGAUUGGCACAUGGGAAGAAAUGCAAAGUGAGUUUUUGAAGAAAUUCUUUCCAGCACAUAAAACUAAUGCUUUGGAAAGACAAAUCCAAAAUUUUUCUCACCAAUGAAGCGUACUUUCAAUGUUUAGAAAGAUUUAAAGAUUUAUUAAAUACAUGCCCACAUUAUGGUUUUGAAAAAUGGCGUACUAUAAGUUUCUUUUACGAGGGCCUAACUCCUGAACAAAACAAUUUGUAGAAACGAUGUGCAAUGGUGAAUUUUUAGAUAAAUAUCCAGAUGAAGCUUUAGAAUUUCUAGAUCAUCUAGCAGAAAAUUCUCAAUCUUGGCAAAUAGUAAAACCAAUAGAAAACUCAAUCAGAUCUAGUCUUGCUAGUUCUAGUGGGGGAAAAUAUCAAUUGAGUCAUGAUGAUGAUCUAAAUGUUAGGAUUGCUAGUUUGUCUAGAAAGGUUGAAGCUAUGGAAUUAAGGAAAGUAAAGGAAUUUAAACCUGUGCAAAAUGAUGAAAUUUGUAGCAUUUGUGAAACUUUUGGUCAUCUUACACAUGAUUAUCCUAACAUUCCAGUUUUUAAAGAAGUUUUACAUGAUCAAGCCAAUGCUAUGAACACUUUCAAAAAGCCUUUUUCUUCUCCAUACUCAGAAACAUAUAAUCAACAAUGGAGAAAUCAUCCCAACUUUAGUUGGAGAGAUGAUAAUCGUGUUCAUAUAUCACAACCUCAAGGGCUUUCAAAAUUCCCUUCUUUUCCACCACCACAAUCAAAGACUCUUGAGGAAACAUUGCAGUCUUUUAUGCAAGGACAAAUAAAUAUUAAUAAUCAAACUUCACAAGCCAUCAACGAAAUCAAGAACACACUUUCUUCAUUGACAUCUUCUUUGCAUUCUCAAGAGAAAGGCAAAUUUCCUGCCCAACCUCAACCAAAUCCUUCUGGGCAAUUUAAUGUAAAUGCUUCUAGUUCUUCUGAAAGUCAACAAGAAAAUGCCAACUCCAUCACGACUCUUCGUAGUGGAAAAAUUAUUGACAAAACUAUCCCUUCAAAAGAACUAAAAUCGGGUGGGUCUUCAAAGCAAGAAAAUGACGUUUCCAAAAGUGAGGAAAAUAUCAUUUCUGAACCUAUUGUUGAAAAAAUCCCAUUCCAGCGCCAUUUCCUCAACGAUUGCAACCAAUUUCAAAACUCAACCAUAAUUCUGAAAUUUUUGAACUUUUCAAACAAGUCAAAAUUAACAUACCAUUAUUGGAUGCAAUCAAACAAGUUCCUUCAUAUGCAAAAUUUUUAAAAGACUUGUGCACUGUCAAGAGGAAACUUAAUGUUCAACAGAAAGCAUUUUUGAUAGAAAAUGUGAGCUCAAUCAUUCAACAAAACACUCCACCUAAAUUCAAAGAUCCUGGUUGUCCAACAAUUUCUUGUGUGAUUGGAAAUAAUAGGAUAGAGCGUGCAUUGCUUGAUCUUGGUGCUAGUGUUAAUCUAUUACAUUUUCCUAUGUAUGAGCAACAAGGUUUGGGAGAGCUUAAACUAACAGCAACAACACUUCAACUUGCUGAUCGUUCAGUAAAAGUUUCGAGAGGGGUUGUAGAGGAUGUUCUAGUUCAAAUUGAUAAAUUCUAUUAUCCUGUUGAUUUUAUUGUUUUGGAUACACAUCCUGUUUUAAAUUCAAAUGCCCAAAUACCUGUCAUUCUAGGACGUCCCUUUCUUGCUACUUCAAAUGUGUUGAUAAAUUGUAGAAAUGGUAUCUUAAAACUCCCUUUUGAAAAUAUGACUAUGGAAAUGAAUGUUUUUAAUAUUUCCAAGCAACAUGGAGAUAAUGAUGAUUUGCAUGAAGUAGAUUUUAUUGAAUAAUUUGUUGAUGAUCAGUUUAUCACUACAUCUUCAUCUAAUGUGCUAGAAUUUGAAUUCAAUGAUAAUUCUAAAAAUUUGGAUAUGAUUUCAAGUGUUCAAGAGCCAAAGCUCAAUUUGAAACCGUUUUUUGAGAAUUUCUCCAGCUUGGAAGAGUCCGUUGCUAUACACGAUUCUAAAAAUUGAUAUCCUUUUCUCAUCGUUUUAUUUUGUUAUGUUUGUUUUCAGUUUUAUAAUGUUGUGUGUUUGUUUUAGGUGUGUUUCUUUUGCUGUUGUUGUUUUUUCACUAAUGAAAUUGAAGGAUCAUUCGACUUUCUAGGUAAAGCUCAAAACUCGUCCCUUUGUUCAAAAUUUUGCUCCUUAUUGUCUUUCAUAUAUUUUGCACAUUUAAUCUUUACAUUGAGGACAAUGUUUCAUUUAGGUUGAGGGAAAGGAAUCAAAAAGUUAAAUAUNNNNNNNNNNNNNNNNNNNNNNNNNNNNNNNNNNNNNNNNNNNNNNNNNNNNNAAUUCUAGGAUAGUUUGGGGUGGUUGAGCUGUUGUGGGGAAACAUUGAGAUAGAUGUGAAUUCCAUGUGUGUUAAAUUUUGUGUGGAUUGCUUAAGACCAAUGAGAUGAUAAUUAGGUAAAAAUCUUAAGCUAAAGAUCGAUUUUCGAGAAUAAGUGUUUAACGAGGGGCAUUACACUAAUCAUUGCAUAGAAGGGAAAAAGCUGCCAUGUUGUGAAGCUACCCUAAAAGAGCCCAAAGAGGACAAUUAUAUACAUAAAAAGAGAUAGGCUAGUGCAUGAAACAGAAUACGCAUGACAAACUUGAAAAAAGCAGGUGCAUGAAAUAGAAGACGCACUACAUGCCUUGAUUAAGUCCCAAACACUUAUUUUAGAGAAUUAGAUCUUUGAUAAGGGAUUAGUAGCUAGUCGAUUCUUGGAGGUUGAAUCAGUCGAAAUUAAGGAGAAUCCUCAUUUAUUGAUGUUUUGAGCUACAAUUAGUAAAAUCUAACCAAACUAGAGAGGGUGAGUAAUAGUAUAUAAAUUUAACCAUAAAUCACACCUUGGAAAACUAGUUACAAAAUCAAGUUUGAGGGUGUGCAUCCCACUAGAGAAGAGAGAAAUAAUUGACCAUUGAGGGUCGGGAUGAGUCCAAUUUGAAAAAGUACGUGAUUGAAUUGAUUAUGCACACACACACGUUGGUCGAGCAUUGGACAAGUUAGACUAUAUUUUGGUAUCAAACCUUAGAAGAAUUUUGAUAAGCAAUUUCAAGUCCUAAGGCAAAUGCGAUGAGCUAUACCAUUUGAACUAUUUUUGAAUUUUUAUUACUAGAGACUAGCAAUAUCUUGGUUGGGGAGUGUGAUUAGUGUCUAAAAGUGUUUCAAAGAUAUAUCAUUUACAAGACAUUUUACAUUCACUUUGUUUAAAAACACUAAUGUUAGUCUCUAAUUUCAAUUCUCUUGCCGUAAAUUCAAUUUCCGUAAAUACAUGGUUAAAAAUGCAAUUAAUUGAAAUACGUAUUUAUAUACAUGUUGGCAUGAGUAUUAUACAUUUGAAAGAGUAUCUAUUUGAUAUAUUUCACAUGUAUUUCCAAUUUAGAACAAGUGGAGCAAGUGGAGGAAAAUAAUGUUGAAAAGUCAAAAAUAGUGACUGUCUCAAGCAAGAAGCAGCUGUCGAUAAAAUUAUCAUUACUUGAGAUACAGACAUUGGAUCGAGAUGAUUCAAGUUGGGUUGGAAAGAUAAGGCAUGUUUUUACAACUUUCAUUUUUUGUAAGAAGUCAAAUUCGUAUCAUAAGGCAGCCGAAAUUACUGUGCAAAUUAUAGCUUGUUACCUGCUGGAUACAGCUUUACCUGUGAAGCAGCACUCAUUUUAUUUGUCAUAUCAGGAGUUAUAUAGAUCCAAUGAACCUGAUAGUUGAACCAAUGGAAAGUUAACUCAAGUGGAAAUAAUUUAUCUGCUGAACAUAAGUCCAAAUUCGCUGCACAAUAUAUCUAAAAAUUGGCAUCAAGUUACAUAUUCCAGCUGUCUUGAAGCUGGACAGAAACAAGUUGCAUUGCCUACUUGCAUUUUGGAUGUUCCUUUGCCUAUAAAAGGGGACCUUGGCCACGAUUUUAAGAGAUCAAUUCCUCUCCAUCAUAUUCUAGUUUUCUUCAUUUUCUUUGUAAUAUUUCAUUAUGUAUUUCUAAACCAUUAGCUAGAGCUAGGGAUGAAACUUUGGUGAAUGCAUAGUAUUGUCUUUGAUAUUUCAUUUUGUUCUUCAAUGUUCAUCUUCUUACUUGGUUGAAGUAUAUGUUCUACAAAUGGUUUUGGUUUGUUAAAGGCUUUGAUUUAUUGUUGACAAUUUUGGCACAAUAAAUGCUUAGAUAAUCUCUACAUUCCAACAACUUAUUUUGACAUAUUCUCUCAUACAAUUAUCAAGAUCUAUCUUUUAAUAUUUUUGUGAUUAAUGUUUUAUCUUCCAUAUGAGAUCACUCCUUAGUUGAUUUUCAUAUGAGUUAAAUUAAAGAUCAAGGGCAAUUUCUACUCAUUUAUCCGAAGUGAAUCCCUGACGCUCUAGUGUUCGUCUUCGUCGUAUUUGCAACCUUAAAGUUGUAGCAAGUUUUUGGCGCCGUUGCCGGGGAUUUGCAUCAAGGAUUAUUUUCUGCUACUUUCUGUGAGGUUUUCUUCUCUUUCAUAAUCUUCACAAAUUAGGUACAUUCGUUCCUUUUUCAAUCUUAUUGAUUUAGUUAUUUUACUUUAAAGGAAGGCUGAGCCUCCUUCGUUUUUUUAUUUUUUCAUUUCUUUAAAGGGAAAGCCGAGCUUCCCGAUCUGUCGUAUUUUUAUUAUAUGGUUGGCUGUGCCACCUAAUUUUCAUUCUUAUUAUAUGAUUGGCCGUGCCACCUAAUUUUCGUUCGUUAUAUCUACUUUUUGUUAUUUUAUGUCAUAUUGGUAUCGUGAAUUUAAUUCUCAUUGUUUAGUUAAAGAUAAUUGUGAAACUUUCUUUAGUAAUUUAUUUGACUCACCUCAAUACUCACUC